GAAGCCACUAUGUUUUCUGCACUUGUGACUAGAGAGCACCUUGAUAGCUCAGUUGGUAGAGUGGUGGACUGUAAGAUGCUCCUUGUGUGAAACGCUGUGAUCCUAAGGUGGCUGGUUUAACUCCAGCUGGAAGCACCUCCUUGUCAUUGGAAAUACCCCCAAUCCUUGUCUUUAUCUGUCAACUCCUCCAAAAUGUGAAAACACAAACAAGAUAACUCUUUCUUAAAUUUUCAACCAUCAAUUUUUUAUUCACCCAGCCUAAAAGUCCUGAUUAUCAGUUCUGGGUCCCUGGCAAUGACUGUUGGGUACAAACUGCAAAGCUUUGUUCGUCAGGUAGGGCUGGGCUUUUCAUUGACCAUGGGUUGGAAUAGUUCUGUGGGCAUAGUGUGUCUUCGAAGCCACUAUGUUUUCUGCACUUGUGACUAGAGAGCACCUUGAUAGCUCAGUUGCUAGAGCGGUGGACUGUAAGAUGCUCCUUGUUUGAAACGCUGUGAUCCUAAGGUGGCUGGUUCAACUCCAGCCGGAAGCACCUCCUUGUCAUUGGAAAUACCCCCAAGCCUUGUCUUUAUCUGUCAACUCCUCCAAAAUGUAAAAACACAAACAAGAUAACUCUUUCUUAAAUUUUCAACCAUCAAUUUUUUAUUCACCCAGCCUAAAAGUCCUGAUUAUCAGUUCUGGGUCCCUGGCAAUGACUGUUGGGUACAAACUGCAAAGCUUUGUUCGUCAGGUAGGGCUGGGCUUUUCAUUGACCAUGGGUUGGAAUAGUUCUGUGGGCAUAGUGUGUCUUCGAAGCCACUAUGUUUUCUGCACUAGGGACAAGAGAGCCCCUUGAUAGCUCAGUUGGUAGAGCGGUGGACUGUAAGAUGCUCCUUGUGUGAAACGCUGUGAUCCUAAGGUGGCUGGUUCAACUCCGGCCGGAAGCACCUCCUUGUCAUUGGAAAUACCCCCAAGCCUUGUCUUUAUCUGUCAACUCCUCCAAAAUGUAAAAACACAAACAAGAUAACUCUUUCUUAAAUUUUCAACCAUCAAUUUUUUAUUCACCCAGCCUAAAAGUCCUGAUUAUCAGUUCUGGGUCCCUGGCAAUGACUGUUGGGUACAAACUGCAAAGCUUUGUUCGUCAGGUAGGGCUGGGCUUUUCAUUGACCAUGGGUUGGAAUAGUUCUGUGGGCAUAGUGUGUCUUCGAAGCCACUAUGUUUUCUGCACUUGUGACUAGAGAGCACCUUGAUAGCUCAGUUGGUAGAGCGGUCGACUGUAAGAUGCUCCUUGUGUGAAACGCUGUGAUCCUAAGGUCGCUGGUUCAACUCCAGCCUGAAGCACCUCCUUGUCAUUGGAAAUACCCCCAAGCCUUGUCUUUAUCUGUCAACUCCUCCAAAAUGUAAAAACACAAACAAGAUAACUCUUUCUUAAAUUUUCAACCAUCAAUUUUUUAUUCACCCAGCCUAAAAGUCCUGAUUAUCAGUUCUGGGUCCCUGGCAAUGACUGUUGGGUACAAACUGCAAAGCUUUGUUCGUCAGGUAGGGCUGGGCUUUUCAUUGACCAUGGGUUGGAAUAGUUCUGUGGGCAUAGUGUGUCUUCGAAGCCACUAUGUUUUCUGCACUUGUGACUAGAGAGCACCUUGAUAGCUCAGUUGGUAGAGCGGUGGACUGUAAGAUGCUCCUUGUGUGAAACGCUGUGAUCCGAAGGUGGCUGGUUCAACUCCAGCCGGAAGCACCUCCUUGUCAUUGGAAAUACCCCCAAGCCUUGUCUUUAUCUGUCAACUCCUCCAAAAUGUAAAAACACAAACAAGAUAACUCUUUCUUAAAUUUUCAACCAUCAAUUUUUUCAAUCACCCAGCCUAAAAGUCCUGAUUAUCAGUUCUGGGUCCCUGGCAAUGACUGUUGGGUACAAACUGCAAAGCUUUGUUCGUCAGGUAGGGCUGGGCUUUUCAUUGACCAUGGGUUGGAAUAGUUCUGUGGGCAUAGUGUGUCUUCGAAGCCACUAUGUUUUCUGCACUUGUGACUAGAGAGCACCUUGAUAGCUCAGUUGGUAGAGCGGUGGACUGUAAGAUGCUCCUUGUGUGAAAUGCUGUGAUCCUAAGGAGGCUGGUUCAACUCCAGCCGGAAGCACCUCCUUGUCAUUGGAAAUACCCCCAAGCCUUGUCUUUAUCUGUCAACUCCUCCAAAAUGUAAAAACACAAACAAGAUAACUCUUUCUUAAAUUUUCAACCAUCAAUUUUUUAUUCACCCAGCCUAAAAGUCCUGAUUAUCAGUUCUGGGUCCCUGGCAAUGACUGUUGGGUACAAACUGCAAAGCUUUGUUCUGCAGGUAGGGCUGGGCUUUUCAUUGACCAUGGGUUGGAAUAGUUCUGUGGGCAUAGUGUGUCUUCGAAGCCACUAUGUUUUCUGCACUUGUGACUAGAGAGCACCUUGAUAGCUCAGUUGGUAGAGUGGUGGACUGUAAGAUGCUCCUUGUGUGAAACGCUGUGAUCCUAAGGUGGCUGGUUUAACUCCAGCUGGAAGCACCUCCUUGUCAUUGGAAAUACCCCCAAUCCUUGUCUUUAUCUGUCAACUCCUCCAAAAUGUGAAAACACAAACAAGAUAACUCUUUCUUAAAUUUUCAACCAUCAAUUUUUUAUUCACCCAGCCUAAAAGUCCUGAUUAUCAGUUCUGGGUCCCUGGCAAUGACUGUUGGGUACAAACUGCAAAGCUUUGUUCGUCAGGUAGGGCUGGGCUUUUCAUUGACCAUGGGUUGGAAUAGUUCUGUGGGCAUAGUGUGUCUUCGAAGCCACUAUGUUUUCUGCACUUGUGACUAGAGAGCACCUUGAUAGCUCAGUUGGUAGAGCGGUGGACUGUAAGAUGCUCCUUGUUUGAAACGCUGUGAUCCUAAGGUGGCUGGUUCAACUCCAGCCGGAAGCACCUCCUUGUCAUUGGAAAUACCCCCAAGCCUUGUCUUUAUCUGUCAACUCCUCCAAAAUGUAAAAACACAAACAAGAUAACUCUUUCUUAAAUUUUCAACCAUCAAUUUUUUAUUCACCCAGCCUAAAAGUCCUGAUUAUCAGUUCUGGGUCCCUGGCAAUGACUGUUGGGUACAAACUGCAAAGCUUUGUUCGUCAGGUAGGGCUGGGCUUUUCAUUGACCAUGGGUUGGAAUAGUUCUGUGGGCAUAGUGUGUCUUCGAAGCCACUAUGUUUUCUGCACUUGUGACUAGAGAGCACCUUGAUAGCUCAGUUGGUAGAGCGGUGGACUGUAAGAUGCUCCUUGUGUGAAACGCUGUGAUCCGAAGGUGGCUGGUUCAACUCCAGCCGGAAGCACCUCCUUGUCAUUGGAAAUACCCCCAAGCCUUGUCUUUAUCUGUCAACUCCUCCAAAAUGUAAAAACACAAACAAGAUAACUCUUUCUUAAAUUUUCAACCAUCAAUUUUUUAAUCACCCAGCCUAAAAGUCCUGAUUAUCAGUUCUGGGUCCCUGGCAAUGACUGUUGGGUACAAACUGCAAAGCUUUGUUCGUCAGGUAGGGCUGGGCUUUUCAUUGACCAUGGGUUGUAAUAGUUCUGUGGGCAUAGUGUGUCUUCGAAGCCACUAUGUUUUCUGCACUUGUGACUAGAGAGCACCUUGAUAGCUCAGUUGGUAGAGCGGUGGACUGUAAGAUGCUCCUUGUGUGAAAUGCUGUGAUCCUAAGGAGGCUGGUUCAACUCCAGCCGGAAGCACCUCCUUGUCAUUGGAAAUACCCCCAAGCCUUGUCUUUAUCUGUCAACUCCUCCAAAAUGUAAAAACACAAACAAGAUAACUCUUUCUUAAAUUUUCAACCAUCAAUUUUUUAAUCACCCAGCCUAAAAGUCCUGAUUAUCAGUUAUGGGUCCCUGGCAAUGACUGUUGGGUACAAACUGCAAAGCUUUGUUCGUCAGGUAGGGCUGGGCUUUUCAUUGACCAUGGGUUGGAAUAGUUCUGUGGGCAUAGUGUGUCUUAGAAGCCACUAUGUUUUCUGCACUUGUGACUAGAGAGCACCUUGAUAGCUCAGUUGGUAGAGCGGUGGACUGUAAGAUGCUCCUUGUGUGAAACGCUGUGAUCCGAAGGUGGCUGGUUCAACUCCAGCCGGAAGCACCUCCUUGUCAUUGGAAAUACCCCCAAGCCUUGUCUUUAUCUGUCAACUCCUCCAAAAUGUAAAAACACAAACAAGAUAACUCUUUCUUAAAUUUUCAACCAUCAAUUUUUUAAUCACCCAGCCUAAAAGUCCUGAUUAUCAGUUCUGGGUCCCUGGCAAUGACUGUUGGGUACAAACUGCAAAGCUUUGUUCGUCAGGUAGGGCUGGGCUUUUCAUUGACCAUGGGUUGGAAUAGUUCUGUGGGCAUAGUGUGUCUUCGAAGCCACUAUGUUUUCUGCACUUGUGACUAGAGAGCACCUUGAUAGCUCAGUUGGUAGAGCGGUGCACUGUAAGAUGCUCCUUGUGUGAAACGCUGUGAUCCUAAGGUGGCUUGUUCAACUCCAGCUGGAAGCACCUCCUUGUCAUUGGAAAUACCCCCAAGCCUUGUCUUUAUCUGUCAACUCCUCCAAAAUGUGAAAACACAAACAAGAUAACUCUUUCUUAAAUUUUCAACAAUCAAUUUUUUAUUCACCCAGCCUAAAAGUCCUGAUUAUCAGUUCUGGGUCCCUGGCAAUGACUGUUGGGUACACACUGCAAAGCUUUGUUCGUCAGGUAGGGCUGGGCUUUUCAUUGACCAUGGGUUGUAAUAGUUCUGUGGGCAUAGUGUGUCUUCGAAGCCACUAUGUUUUCUGCACUUGUGACUAGAGAGCACCUUGAUAGCUCAGUUGGUAGAGCGGUGGACUGUAAAAUGCUCCUUGUUUGAAACGCUGUGAUCCUAAGGUGGCUGGUUCAACUCCAGCCGGAAGCACCUCCUUGUCAUUGGAAAUACCCCCAAGCCUUGUCUUUAUCUGUCAACUCCUCCAAAAUGUAAAAACACAAACAAGAUAACUCUUUCUUAAAUUUUCAACCAUCAAUUUUUUAUUCACCCAGCCUAAAAGUCCUGAUUAUCAGUUCUGGGUCCCUGGCAAUGACUGUUGGGUACAAACUGCAAAGCUUUGUUCGUCAGGUAGGGCUGGGCUUUUCAUUGACCAUGGGUUGGAAUAGUUCUGUGGGCAUAGUGUGUCUUCGAAGCCACUAUGUUUUCUGCAGUUGUGACUAGAGAGCACCUUGAUAGCUCAGUUGGUAGAGCGGUGGACUGUAAGAUGCUCCUUGUGUGAAACUCUGUCAUCCUAAGGUGGCUGGUUCAACUCCAGCCCGAAGCACCUCCUUGUCAUUGGAAAUACCCCCAAGCCUUGUCUUUAUCUGUCAACUCCUCCAAAAUGUGAAAACACAAACAAGAUAACUCUUUCUUAAAUUUUCAACAAUCAAUUUUUUAUUCACCCAGCCUAAAAGUCCUGAUUAUCAGUUCUGGGUCCCUGGCAAUGACUGUUGGGUACACACUGCAAAGCUUUGUUCGUCAGGUAGGGCUGGGCUUUUCAUUGACCAUGGGUUGUAAUAGUUCUGUGGGCAUAGUGUGUCUUCGAAGCCACUAUGUUUUCUGCACUUGUGACUAGAGAGCACCUUGAUAGCUCAGUUGUUAGAGCGGUGGACUGUAAAAUGCUCCUUGUUUGAAACGCUGUGAUCCUAAGGUGGCUGGUUCAACUCCAGCCGGAAGCACCUCCUUGUCAUUGGAAAUACCCCCAAGCCUUGUCUUUAUCUGUCAACUCCUCCAAAAUGUAAAAACACAAACAAGAUAACUCUUUCUUAAAUUUUCAACCAUCAAUUUUUUAUUCACCCAGCCUAAAAGUCCUGAUUAUCAGUUCUGGGUCCCUGGCAAUGACUGUUGGGUACAAACUGCAAAGCUUUGUUCGUCAGGUAGGGCUGGGCUUUUCAUUGACCAUGGGUUGGAAUAGUUCUGUGGGCAUAGUGUGUCUUCGAAGCCACUAUGUUUUCUGCAGUUGUGACUAGAGAGCACCUUGAUAGCUCAGUUGGUAGAGCGGUGGACUGUAAGAUGCUCCUUGUGUGAAACUCUGUCAUCCUAAGGUGGCUGGUUCAACUCCAGCCCGAAGCACCUCCUUGUCAUUGGAAAUACCCCCAAGCCUUGUCUUUAUCUGUCAACUCCUCCAAAAUGUAAAAACACAAACAACAUAACUCUUUCUUAAAUUUUCAACCAUCAAUUUUUUAUUCACCCAGCCUAAAAGUCCUGAUUAUCAGUUCUGGGUCCCUGGCAAUGACUGUUGGGUACAAACUGCAAAGCUUUGUUCUGCAGGUAGGGCUGGGCUUUUCAUUGACCAUGGGUUGGAAUAGUUCUGUGGGCAAAGUGUGUCUUCGAAGCCACUAUGUUUUCUGCACUUGAGACUAGAGAGCCCCUUGAUAGCUCAGUUGGUAGAGCGGUCGACUGUAAGAUGCUCCUUGUGUGAAACGCUGUGAUCCUAAAGUCGCUGGUUCAACUCCAGCCGGAAGCACCUCCUUGUCAUUGGAAAUACCCCCAAGCCUUGUCUUUAUCUGUCAACUCCUCCAAAAUGUAAAAACACAAACAACAUAACUCUUUCUUAAAUUUUCAACCAUCAAUUUUUUAUUCACCCAGCCUAAAAGUCCUGAUUAUCAGUUCUGGGUCCCUGGCAAUGACUGUUGGGUACAAACUGCAAAGCUUUGUUCUGCAGGUAGGGCUGGGCUUUUCAUUGACCAUGGGUUGGAAUAGUUCUGUGGGCAUAGUGUGUCUUCGAAGCCACUAUGUUUUCUGCACUUGAGACUAGAGAGCCCCUUGAUAGCUCAGUUGGUAGAGCGGUCGACUGUAAGAUGCUUCUUGUGUGAAACGCUGUGAUCCUAAGGUGGCUGGUUCAACUCCAGCCGGAAGCACCUCCUUGUCAUUGGAAAUACCCCCAAGCCUUGUCUUUAUC
rnacentral:lncRNA from 1 species